AGUGAACGCUGGCGGCGUGCUUAACACAUGCAAGUCGAACGAGAACGGGUUAUAGCUUGCUAUAAUUGUCAGCUAAGUGGCGCACGGGUGAGUAAUGUAUAGGUAAUAUGCCUCUUACUAAGGGAUAACAAAUGGAAACGUUUGCUAAUACCUUAUACUCCUUAUUAACAUAAGUUAAUAAGGGAAAGAUUUAUUGGUAAGAGAUUAGCCUGUAUUGUAUCAGUUAGUUGGUGGGGUAAUGGCUUACCAAGACUAUGACACAUAACUGGUUUGAGAGGAUGAUCAGUCACACUGGAACUGAGACACGGUCCAGACUCCUACGGGAGGCAGCAGUGGGGAAUAUUGCACAAUGGACGAAAGUCUGAUGCAGCAACGCCGCGUGGAGGAUGUCACAUUUCGGAGCGUAAACUCCUUUUAUAUGAGAAGAUAAUGACGGUAUUAUAUGAAUAAGCACCGGCUAACUCCGUGCCAGCCGCCGCUGUAA
rnacentral:rRNA from 1 species